UACGUAGGGCGCGAGCGUUGUCCGGAAUUAUUGGGCGUAAAGAGCUCGUAGGCGGCCUGUUGCGUCCGCUGUGAAAUCCCGGGGCUCAACCCCGGGCUUGCAGUGGAUACGGGCUGGCUAGAGGCAGGCAGGGGAGAACGGAAUUCCCGGUGUAGCGGUGAAAUGCGCAGAUAUCGGGAGGAACACCGGUGGCGAAGGCAAUCCCCUGGGCCUGUACUGACGCUCAUGCACGAAAGCGUGGGGAGCAAACAGG
rnacentral:rRNA from 1 species